rnacentral:rRNA from 1 species
UACCAGCACCCCGAGUGGUCGGGACGAUUAUUGGGCCUAAAGCAUCCGUAGCCGGUUUUACAAGUCCUCCGUUAAAUCCAACUGCUUAACAGAUGGGCUGCGGAGGAUACUAUAAGACUAGGAGGCAGGAGAGGCAAGCGGUACUCAGUGGGUAGGGGUAAAAUCCGUUGAUCCAUUGAAGACCACCAGUGGCGAAGGCGGCUUGCCAGAACGCGCUCGACGGUGAGGGAUGAAAGCUGGGGGAGCAAACCGG